GCUGGCGGCGUGCUUAACACAUGCAAGUCGAACGAGAACGGAUUAUAGCUUGCUAUAAUUGUCAGCUAAGUGGCGCACGGGUGAGUAAUGUAUAGAUAACCUGCCCUUAAGAAAGGAAUAACAGUUGGAAACGACUGCUAAUGCCCUAUAUGCCUUUAAUACAUAAGUAUGCAAGGGAAACGCUUUAGUGCUUAAGGAUGGGUCUGUAUGGUAUCAGCUUGUUGGUGAGGUAAUGGCUCACCAAGGCUAUGACGCCUAACUGGUUUGAGAGGAUGAUCAGUCACACUGGAACUGAGACACGGUCCAGACUCCUACGGGAGGCAGCAGUGGGGAAUAUUGCACAAUGGACGAAAGUCUGAUGCAGCAACGCCGCGUGGAGGAUGACACAUUUCGGUGCGUAAACUCCUUUUAUAUAGGAAGAUAAUGACGGUACUAUAUGAAUAAGCACCGGCUAACUCCGUGCCAGCAGCCGCGGUAAUACGGAGGGUGCAAGCGUUACUCGGAAUCACUGGGCGUAAAGAGCGUGUAGGCGGGUAUAUAAGUCAGAAGUGAAAUCCAAUAGCUCAACUAUUGAACUGCUUUUGAAACUGUAUACCUAGAAUGUGGGAGAGGUAGAUGGAAUUUCUGGUGUAGGGGUAAAAUCCGUAGAGAUCAGAAGGAAUACCGAUUGCGAAGGCGAUCUACUGGAACAUUAUUGACGCUGAGACGCGAAAGCGUGGGGAGCAAACA
rnacentral:rRNA from 1 species